AUUGAACGCUGGCGGCAGGCCUAACACAUGCAAGUCGAACGGUAACAGGAAGAAGCUUGCUUCUUUGCUGACGAGUGGCGGACGGGUGAGUAAUGUCUGGGAAACUGCCUGAUGGAGGGGGAUAACUACUGGAAACGGUAUCUAAUACCGCAUAACGUCGCAAGACCAAAGAGGGGGACCUUCGGGCCUCUUGCCAUCGGAUGUGCCCAGAUGGGAUUAGCUAGUAGGUGGGGUAACGGCUCACCUAGGCGACGAUCCCUAGCUGGUCUGAGAGGAUGACCAGCCACACUGGAACUGAGACACGGUCCAGACUCCUACGGGAGGCAGCAGUGGGGAAUAUUGCACAAUGGGCGCAAGCCUGAUGCAGCCAUGCCGCGUGUAUGAAGAAGGCCUUCGGGUUGUAAAGUACUUUCAGCGGGGAGGAAGGGAGUAAAGUUAAUACCUUUACUCAUUGACGUUACCCGCAGAAGAAGCACCGGCUAACUCCGUG
rnacentral:rRNA from 1 species